rnacentral:rRNA from 1 species
GUUAAGCGACUAAGCGUACACGGUGGAUGCCCUGGCAGUCAGAGGCGAUGAAGGACGUGCUAAUCUGCGAUAAGCGUCGGUAAGGUGAUAUGAACCGUUAUAACCGGCGAUUUCCGAAUGGGGAAACCCAGUGUGUUUCGACACACUAUCAUUAACUGAAUCCAUAGGUUAAUGAGGCGAACCGGGGGAACUGAAACAUCUAAGUACCCCGAGGAAAAGAAAUCAACCGAGAUUCCCCCAGUAGCGGCGAGCGAACGGGGAGCAGCCCAGAGCCUGAAUCAGUGUGUGUGUUAGUGGAAGCGUCUGGAAAGGCGCGCGAUACAGGGUGACAGCCCCGUACACAAAAAUGCACAUGCUGUGAGCUCGAUGAGUAGGGCGGGACACGUGGUAUCCUGUCUGAAUAUGGGGGGACCAUCCUCCAAGGCUAAAUACUCCUGACUGACCGAUAGUGAACCAGUACCGUGAGGGAAAGGCGAAAAGAACCCCGGCGAGGGGAGUGAAAAAGAACCUGAAACCGUGUACGUACAAGCAGUGGGAGCACGCUUAGGCGUGUGACUGCGUACCUUUUGUAUAAUGGGUCAGCGACUUAUAUUCUGUAGCAAGGUUAACCGAAUAGGGGAGCCGAAGGGAAACCGAGUCUUAACUGGGCGUUAAGUUGCAGGGUAUAGACCCGAAACCCGGUGAUCUAGCCAUGGGCAGGUUGAAGGUUGGGUAACACUAACUGGAGGACCGAACCGACUAAUGUUGAAAAAUUAGCGGAUGACUUGUGGCUGGGGGUGAAAGGCCAAUCAAACCGGGAGAUAGCUGGUUCUCCCCGAAAGCUAUUUAGGUAGCGCCUCGUGAAUUCAUCUCCGGGGGUAGAGCACUGUUUCGGCAAGGGGGUCAUCCCGACUUACCAACCCGAUGCAAACUGCGAAUACCGGAGAAUGUUAUCACGGGAGACACACGGCGGGUGCUAACGUCCGUCGUGAAGAGGGAAACAACCCAGACCGCCAGCUAAGGUCCCAAAGUCAUGGUUAAGUGGGAAACGAUGUGGGAAGGCCCAGACAGCCAGGAUGUUGGCUUAGAAGCAGCCAUCAUUUAAAGAAAGCGUAAUAGCUCACUGGUCGAGUCGGCCUGCGCGGAAGAUGUAACGGGGCUAA